AUCGUUGGCGUGGCUCGUGCCUGAUGUCCUUCACCUUCCGCUCUCUGUGUGUUGCCGUUCUUAAACUCGCUUCUCUUCAGGAAACAACAAGAAACUUCGAGCUAGCGCGCUAUGCGCUGAAAAUGUGCAGUGGCGUGGCAGGCCGCUCCCAGGAUGACUCGCAGCUGCAGGCAAUUCCUAAUCAACCACCUGGGGCUCAUUAGUGCAGAGACUUAAACUGUGGCUGCUUUCUGUUCUGAGCUGGAUUGUUAGUCUUGUUACGUAGGAAUACCACUCUGUCUCACCUGCCCUGCCUUUGUUCACCACCUGCUCUGUCACCUGGAGAGGAUUCCCCCACCAGUCCAUUCUGCUGAGACUCUCAGAUUCAGUAAUAAACUGUUUAAACAUUGAGCUGUGUUUUUGUCUGCUUCUGGGUUCUGGCUACAAAUCCUGACACCUAGGCUAAAAAGAGACGGCCUUCACUGAGGAGGGACAGAACCACUCACGGUUCAGCCGAGGACCGAGGAGUCGAGGAGCUAUCGAAUAAGGGCCGCGAGAUGCAGCUAUGCGGCUACACCAGCUUGCUUUCCAGCCAUCUGAAUAUGCUAACCCUUCGUGCCUCUCUAGAAUGUGUUUGCUUGUUGCUGAUCAUCACCCUAAAGUAAUUAAUUCCCCUUCAUCCUACCUGCUUGCCUGGUGUGUAUUUAUCCCCUCUCCCACUCGCCAAAAUACCAUUAACGUCUGGCUUUUGUCUGCAUUUGAGUCCUUCUCCCUCUGUUGCCAGCUUUCACCAGCUGUAACCAGUAACCAGAGGUGUAACGUAAGUACAUUUACUCUACAAGUACUGUACUUAAGUCCAAUUUUGAAGUACUUGUACUUGAGUGGGACUGCAGAUGUAAAUUAGCCCAAGGUUAACUCUGGUGCAAUGCAUCAAAUGGUCACAUUUCUGUUUUAAUUGUACAUUGUCCCUUACAAAUAAAAUUGAAACUGA